rnacentral:tRNA from 1 species
GGAAAUAUGCCUGAAUUAUAAAGGACUACUUUGAUAGAGUAAACAAAAGGGGUUAAAGCCCCCUUAUUUCCU